GCUUGGUUGUAUGGUUUUCGGGCUUGUUUUUUAUGUCGGGUCCGGUUUUUUGUCCCAGCCCAUUACCGCUCCGCCCCUCACCCUUUCAUUUGAGCGAGGUAGAUAGAGGAACAUGCGCUCGGGCAGUGGAUGUGAUUCCUUCAUGUUCAUGUCGAUUCCGUGACCCCCCACCUGUGGAGCUUGAUUUGUCUCUCAUUUCUCUUCAAUUCUCGCCUCCUGUUGUUGGUUGUUUUCUCAAUUUUUCUCUCGAGUGCGUGAUUUUUGUUCAUUUCUCGGUGUGUAGCUUCCAGAUCUGGGGUCAGUUGCUGAUGUGAUUUAGUAAGGGUUCGUGUUAGAUGUGUGUUGUGAUCCUAGGCCGUGCUGUUGUAGAUUCAUGGUAGGUGCUUGUAGUUUUAUGGUUCGUUCUGCUUCGCGAUGUUCGCCAUCGUUCCUUGUCUUCUUAGUGGUGUCCGCCAUUUUUGUUCCUCGUCUGCUCGUGGUAGGAUCAUGCGUGGUUAGUUUUGUGAUUCAGAUAAAUGUAUGGAUCAGUCAUAGGUUUCGAGAUGUGAGUUUUUGUGGUUUGGGGUUUGUGAUUUGCAUUGGUAGGUGGUAUGUUUGUUCGCUGGUAGAUGAGUGUUUCCUCCUCUGGGCGUGUUGGUUCUACGGUUUCUAGAUGUUUCUGGAUGUUUCUAGAUGUAGUUAGGUUCCUCCUUUGCCCUCUGCCGCAGGUCCCUUUGGCCUGUGAGUGCAUAAAUCCCUCUUACUGUAGGUUUAGAUGUUGUUAGGUUCCUCCUAGUUACCCAAAGCGUUAGUGCUCUGUUUUUUGAUGUGUCAUUCUUUGGUGUAGCCCAGUACUAUCCUUGGUGUGAUUUUUAUGUGCUUUUGCAACGUAAUUCCUUCAAGCUUCUCCUUCUUUUAAUGCCCUGGGAACUGUGUAUCUAAUUCAGGUUUAUAUAUUUGCUUGUGCUGAGUGUUGUUAUGUAUCCCCAUAGUUUCAGUGUCAUAUACACUAGAAUUACUGAGUAUUUUGCCUCAGACUUACUGUGUAAUCCCCAUAGUUUCAAUGUAAUACACCAUGCAAAUUGCACUAUAUUUACUGUGCCCAUAGUUUCAGUGUUUUUUCACUCUAGAAUUACUAGUAUUUACUGUGUAUUUUGCCCGAUUUUUACUGUGUAAUUCAUCAUGUAGUUUCAGUGUAAUUUACUAUAGAAUUACGGUGUCAUUCAUCUUGUAGUUUCAGUGUAAUUCACUAUAGAAUUUCCGUGUAUUUCAUCCUAUAGUUUCAAUGUAAUUUACUAUAGAAUUACCGUGUAAUUCAUACUGUAGUUUUACUGUGUAAUUCGCUCUAGAAUUACUGUCAAUUCAUCCUGUAGUUUCAGUGUAAAUCACUCUAGAAUUACUGUGUCAUGUUCACUCUAUAAUUACUGUGUAACUCGUUAUGUAGCUUCAGUGUAAUUCGCCCAAUAAUUACUGUGUAAUUCGCCCAAUAAUUACUGUGUAAUUCAUCCUAUAGUUUCUGUGUAAUUGUCCCUUAGUUCAGUGUAAUUUAUGCGAGUUACCGUGUAAUUUUAAUGUUUCAGCUAUGUAAUUCCUGACAUUUUAUAUAGGCCCUGAUUCCAGUGUAAUUUCCCCUAGAAUUACGAUGGUUAUAUAUGUACUUACAGUGUAUUUUCUCACAUUUUUGCAGUGUAUUUAUCUUGGUUCAGUUAUGUAAUUCCUGAAUUUUUCCUCUUUUUUAUUUUUGUAUUACUCUCUCAUGCUAAUUUUCAUUGUAGUCUUUCUUCCCAUUUUUUACAGUGUACCCCUAGUUUUACCGUGUAAUCGCCUUGCUUAUCAUAUGUAUUUACAAUGUAAUUUUUGCCCUAAUUUCAGUGUAAUAUUCAUGCUUUUAGCUCUGUAAUUUAUAUGUUUUAGUUUAAUGGGUAAGCUUUGGAAAGUCUCUCACCAGGACGUUCCGUUAGUAUCAUCUUUCGAGAGUGCAGAUUCUGUUUGUGAACCAUUCGUGCCUAAUGACUUUGCCGAAGAUGGACCGUAUCUGAUGUCUAUGGAACUUUCUGGUGAUGAAGGAUCCUUUGACAAAGCUCUUUUCAAGUUUUACGUCAAUCAAGUUUGUUUCCUUUUUUAUUUUUCUUGUGCUUGUUGAUUAUGUUGUUGGUUAUUUUUCUCUUGUUGAGGUGACUUUUGUCUUUAUGUUUUUUCAGAAGUAAAAUUAUUGACGAGGAAGUUAUCUUCUGCUGGUAGAAGAAAUGUGAUUAGUCCUCCUCCUUUUGCCAUGAUGCUCUCGUUUGGUUUUAGCUUGUUCAUCUUAUUAUUUCUGUUUUGAGUGCAUUAUUCGUGUGAUGUAGUAGUGUUUUUAUGAUCUAAGUUUUGUUUUCUGUUUUUUCUCACUUCUUGAUCUCUGUUUCCUUUCGCUUGUUGUAGAGGCAGAGACGAUCUACUAAUUACCCUACUUGUCCAACCUUCACCAGAUAUUCUAGAAUUUUUUUCUCUGGGGUAGUUGAUGGCAUGUGUCCUAGGUAUGGGGAUGUCAUCCAGACUUAUUGUUCUCGUCAUGCUCCCAAUCUGCAAUUUUGGAAAAGAAAUGUCAAUAAUAGUACAACUAGCAGUUGUAUUUUAACAGUGUAAAUACAGUAGGUUUUUUCCAGUGUAAGUUGUUGCAUUUUUACAUUGAUACAAUGAAAUUUCUAUGGAAUUUCCACCGUAAUUUAUAUGCAGCUUGCACUGGGAAUUACUAUGUAAUUACUAGGGGAUUUGCACCGUAAUUCUUGGUCUAUUGCAGUGCAUUUUCUUUGCCAGUUUCAGUGUAAUUUAUACAACUAUCAAUGUCACAGUGUCAUUUAUACAAACUAUCAUUUUGCACUGUAAUUCUUGGUGUGCUAUUUUUCUUUCCAGUGUCAUUCAGGCACAAUGUGUUCUUGAAGUGUAACUUAUACAACUAUCCAAAUUCUGUCUACUGCUAGUGAUGAAUUAUUUUCAGAGUGUCUAGUUUUUGUCUACUGUUUGUUUCUUAACAUGUAUCUAGUUUCUUUGACGCAUUUGUUUUGCAGAUAUUCCCUGUAAGAGAUGUGACGCGGGCGAAGAAUUCAAGUACUAGGCGUAGCAGUAGAAUUUGUUCCUGACCUGUUAAUUUUCCUGGGAUUUCCCCAAUUGUCUGGUUGCUGUUCUUCCUUGCUCGUCUCCAGGUGAGAUCUCUGUUGUUAUGUAGGAGGGGUUGGAGAUUUCCCAAGGAGCUUGCCUUUUCCGUGGGUAGCAAGUUGAUGGCGAUCAUUAGCUGUGGAUCCAAGGAGGUCUGUGGCCAGUUGUUAGUGGUGGUCCAGCGAGGUUUUGUGGUGGUGCCAGUUUAGUUGAAACCGGGUCAGGGUUUUGCCCGACCCGUUUUUCCGAAAUAAGAAAAUAUACGGUGGCCAGUGGGGUUUUUGGGACAAACAAGUGUCAUCUGUUCAUUGGUUGGGAAAUUUGAAUGUUGCUGAAUUGGAAAACAGUCAAAUGUCAAAUAGACAGUCCCAAACAAAAAGGAUCCAUCGGGAACAAUGAAAACAAAGAUCUCUUCCUUCCUUUCUUAAGAAAAACAAGAAUCUUCUUCUUCUUCAUUUUCAUCUACCCUCUACCCUAAUAAUAAAGCAGCUACUGUUUCUGCUCGUACGUCAUCGUCAUUUUUACAGAAAACUCCUCGACUUUUAUAUGAAAAUAAACCCGCAGUCCAGUAAAUAAGUGAAAAAAAAACGUAUCGUCGCUUGAAAAAAAAACACCCCCGAAUCGAGCGACCGCAUCUCCCACCCCAUCUCGAUCCGCCGCCUCGCCGCCGCCGGCCCGCAUCCUCCGCCAUGCCAUCCCCCGACGCGCCGUGCUGCCGUCCUCCCGGCACCCCGGCCUGCCUCCUCUCCGCCGCGCCAUCCUCCCUGCGUCGUCCGAGUCCUCCGCGCGCGGUUCGCCGACGCCGAGGCCCAGGCCGCCGCGCUCCGGGCCUGCACCGGUCGGCUCGAGCACGCGCCGCCGACCGCGACGGGCUGCUCAACACGCUCCUCGCCGCCAUGGGCAACGACCGGAAGGAGGAGGAGGACACGCAGGAGGCAGGGCAGCGUCAGAAUCGUGCGCGUUGGAUCCGGCCGAUGGUUACGGCGACACGGACGUGGAGGCUCUGGCCGCGGUCGCCGCGCUCUAUGCCCCGCCCCUGCUCGCCGAGCCCUGCCUCUCCAGAUCUCCAGCCAUGUAUGUUGCCGGGGACCCUGCAGGUCCAAGCUCGUCGGCGAGGGGGAGCGCAGACAGCAGCCUAGCCCGUCAGCAACAUGGCAGUAGGCCUCUUCUCCCCUUCUCAGUUUACAGCAGCGUGCCACACUUUCUCAGGCUCCUGUCCCCGUCGUCAGCACACCGAUUCAGAGGUAGAGGCUGACUUGCAGCUCGUGGACUCAGAGGAGGAAGCCUAAGAUCAAUCUCAAAAGCUGUUAUCACUGUUCUCAGCCAGCGAUGCAUAGGGGAAUUGUUUGCUCAUCUAUGUGUUAAAAUCUGGAGCUCUUAAUCAACGACUUCAACAAGGAUGAGAUCAAGCUGCAUCUGCGCUGCUCUGUCCACCAUAACAAUUUUGGAAUGCAUUAACUUUUAUCUGCCCAGGUUGAAUCCUUCAUUCCUCAUUCUCAUCCUUAUUUCUUGAUGUGGGGCGAGUCACUCUAGAUGAGUUGCUAACUUCAAAAGGCUUCAGUCUAACUAGAAGAAAUUUUCCUUAGGAAUAUUUUGUCAAUUUUGUGGUCAAUCGACUGGUGUUACAAUAAAAGCAAGAAAGUGAUGCAAGUUCUUUGGGAUAUAUGCAUCGGAAAAUAUAUGAACACUAUUGGCCCAAAAUCACAGGGCCCCACUAAAUUGUUGUCCAUUUGGCCUCAUGAUUUUAAUGACAAUCGUUCUACCAUGAAAUCUUUCUUCUGCUAGCAUUUCAACAGUACUGUGUGUUGUAGCCAUAUACAUCUGAAUCAUUGGAUAAUAAGAGUUUCCACGAUCCUUUAGAAAUUAGAAGUGUUAGCAAAACAAAGUGGAACUGAACUGAAGCUAUCUCCAUUAGUAUUGUCUACGUCUCCUUGACCUUUCAUGGGAAUCUGAUGUAACCAUCCUGCAACCUGCAAAUACUAUAAAUGAUAUGCAGAGAAGAUUUCAAUAUUACUUAUUACUGCCUUAGUACCAUGCCGUUCUUCUCUACAUAAAUCAUUUAUAAAGCUGUAGGAGGAGCUCAGCUUACAUAUCUGAAUAUCCAACUAAUUGCCUUACCACUAAUUAGUUGCCACGCUGCAACUACUGACAGUGGAUACUGACAUCAUAUUCUCUUGGUAGAGUUCAAAACAACAUGAAUCAAGCUGAUGAAAUUCAGUUUGUAUUUUUUUUCUUUUCCGACCAUGUAGUUUUUUAAACUGCUCUGGAGGUCCUCUCAUAUGUAAUUAAGCUCACACGCAAAUGUCCUUGUACGUACUAUAGAAUCAUAUGCUGACAAUAUUGAACUUUUCUAUUGUAGUAAGAAUAUCAAGCGUUGUUUUGUCAUUGGUGUUUCAGUUUGUCGGUUACAGACUUACAGGUAUAUCAUUCCAAUAUUCAUACUAUAGGAGUUGUUGUCAGGGAGUGCGAGAGGGGCAGCAGAGUGGCCAGCGAGGGGAGCACCGUCACGGGAGAUGUGUUCAUACAACGCAACGUCGAGGAGAUGUCGACGACCUCCGUGGAUGAGCGGUGGUUGUGAGAGUUUUCCGAGGAAGGCCCACUCGAUCAUGGAGUGGCUAUCGCUGCAGAAGGCGACGCUAGCAACAGAGACAGCCAUCCAUUUGUGCCACCAUCAAUAACAACGUUGUAACAAGCAUGGCUCUGCACUGGUUGCUGAAGCAGUAGAGUGGCUUAUGUCAUGUAGGCAACUGGAGGCUACAAGGAUCCGUAUGUAAACAUGGUAUGUGAAAUUUGUUCAACACAGGAAUGGAAAUGCCAAUUUACAAAAUAUAAUAUGUAUGUUUGGUUGAUGAUUACUUGGGGUAGCCAAAUAAAACUUGGAACCA